rnacentral:rRNA from 1 species
UACGUAGGGUGCGAGCGUUAUUCGGAAUUAUUGGGCGUAAAGAGCUCGUAGGCGGUUUGUCACGUCUGCUGUGAAAUCCCGAGGCUCAACCUCGGGCCUGCAGUGGGUACGGGCAGACUGGAGUGCGGUAGGGGAGAAUGGAAUUCCUGGUGUAGCGGUGGAAUGCGCAGAUAUCAGGAGGAACACCGAUGGCGAAGGCAGUUCUCUGGGCCGUAACUGACGCUGAGGAGCGAAAGCGUGGGGAGCGAACAGG